UUGGACAAAUAAGCCCUUUUCCUGCUUACCCUGAGUGAGAUGAACUUGAGCAUGCUAGCUGUUCCAGUAGACUUCCAGUAAUUGACUCGCACAACUACCCUUGUCUUCCUUCAUUCUGGACGCAGAGAUAUACAAUUUUUAACCAUGACUUCAUCUUGAUUUGGGUAAAUCGAAGCAGGGCUUAAAAUCUCACASUAUYCCUUUAAGAUCCAACUGAUUUCUGUUUUCUGACAUCUGUACUGCAUUUUUUGUGUCACUGAAGAGAGCAGUACAGUAUUGACUUUGAGCUUCAGUCCAGAGUCCUCCAAAAGGGUUUCUAAUAAUAUAACAUAAUCACGGGUUUAAAACUGACCAUAAGCCUUGCUUCCGUUUCGUUGAAAAGUCAAAACGUGAGCCAAAUAACAUGUAUGGAAGUGUAAUAAUCACAUGUAUCUCUUAAUCUGAAAUCUAAUCCAUUAUUGGUCAGUACACAUUUUUUUAGAUGUUAUAACAUGUUAUUGGUCAAAUCACAUAUUUUUUAGAUGUUAUCACAUGUGCAGCGAAAUGCUUGUGUUUCUAGCUCCAACAGGCAGUAAUACAUGGCAUUAAAACCAAUUAAAUAAAUAACAAUACACACGUAAUCCGGAAAAAUAAAGAAAUGAAGAAAUAUCAGAACAUAUUUUUUUGAUACGCUGCUAUACUGUAAGCUUAGCGUGGUCAUUCAUUAAAGACAUAAUAGGAAUGUAUUGGUACAUUUUGAAGGGUCAUUUCGCAGCCUUCCUUGCUGAAAUCUAACCUAAUGCAGGUAAAGUCAAUAACAACACAUGCAAUCUGUGGAAAACAUUUAUUUCUGCUUGCUGAUUUCAAUCUUUUACCAGAUUCAUUUUCACACCCUCCAUAAUGCUCUCCAACAGGUCAUGAGCCUACGUAAGUGUAGGGACAACGAGUUUCAGUGCAAUAACAGAAGGUGUAUACCGACCAUCUGGAGGUGCGACAAAGAUGACGACUGCUCAGACAACAGCGACGAGGAAAACUGUGGUUAUGAAAAUGUAGAUCCAUAA
ensembl:lncRNA